rnacentral:rRNA from 1 species
GCNNNNNGGGGCGGGCCCUAAANUGCAAGUCGAGCGGUAGAGAGAAGCUUGCUUCUCUUGAGAGCGGCGGACGGGUGAGUAAUGCCUAGGAAUCUGCCUAGUGGUGGGGGAUAACGUUCGGAAACGGACGCUAAUACCGCAUACGUCCUACGGGAGAAAGCGGGGGACCUUCGGGCCUCGCGCCAUUAGAUGAGCCUAGGUCGGAUUAGCUAGUUGGUGAGGUAAAGGCUCACCAAGGCGACGAUCCGUAACUGGUCUGAGAGGAUGAUCAGUCACACUGGAACUGAGACACGGUCCAGACUCCUACGGGAGGCAGCAGUGGGGAAUAUUGGACAAUGGGCGAAAGCCUGAUCCAGCCAUGCCGCGUGUGUGAAGAAGGUCUUCGGAUUGUAAAGCACUUUAAGUUGGGAGGAAGGGUAGUAACUUAAUACGUUGCUACUUUGACGUUACCGACAGAAUAAGCACCGGCUAACUUCGUGCCAGCAGCCGCGGUAAUACGAAGGGUGCAAGCGUUAAUCGGAAUUACUGGGCGUAAAGCGCGCGUAGGUGGUUCAGUAAGUUGGAUGUGAAAUCCCCGGGCUCAACCUGGGAACUGCAUCCAAAACUGCUGAACUAGAGUACGGUAGAGGGUGGUGGAAUUUCCUGUGUAGCGGUGAAAUGCGUAGAUAUAGGAAGGAACACCAGUGGCGAAGGCGACCACCUGGACUGAUACUGACACUGAGGUGCGAAAGCGUGGGGAGCAAAACAGGAUUAGAUACCCUGGUAGUCCACGCCGUAAACGAUGUCAACUAGCCGUUGGGAGUCUUUGAACUCUUAGUGGCGCAGCUAACGCAUUAAGUUGACCGCCUGGGGAGUACGGCCGCAAGGUUAAAACUCAAAUGAAUUGACGGGGGCCCGCACAACCGGUGGAGCCUGUGGUUUAAUUCAAACACNCAAGAACCUUANCUGGCCUUGANAUGUUAGAACU